UAUACCUGCAUUAUAAUGAACUCAGACUACAAUCCAAGUGUUUUCAAGACUUUCAAGACAAGAAAUACAUGUAGAGAAAUGUACACUGUCGCCCCCCGUGGUCACAGAUUCUGAUAGGUCACAGAUUUUGGUGUAACACCUGACUAUAAAAUGAUCCCGCUUCCAAAUGCCAGUUAGUCAGUUUGCCAGAUUAAAAACUCUCCGUUAAUAUGUGUCAGUUUUAAUAUUUUAUUCUGACCGGAUAUGGGAAUAGCCGUGGAAUGUGACAGCCCCCAAAAAAGUCACGAAUUCGUCGAUCUGAACCAUCCAAGGCGGCAGUUUCAAUCAGGCCCUGCUUCUGGUCACACCAGAACAGUCGAUCGUCUGUGAAAUCGAUGGUCAGGCCGGUAGGUGACACAAGUACAUCCUGCGAUGGACCCAGUCAAUUGCCAGUCCUUCUGGUGAAUCCAAACCAUGAGAGACAAGAACGUUUCGU